rnacentral:sRNA from 1 species
GGAAGGAUCAUUAUUGAAUAAACCUGAUGGGUUGUUGCUGGCUCUCUAGAGAGCAUGUGCACGCCUUGUCAUCUUUAAAUCUCCACCUGUGCACCUUUUGUAGACCUUUUCAGGUCUAUGUUGUCUCAUUUACCCCAAUGUAUGUUAAUAGAAUGUUGUGACUAUAUAAUAUAUACAACUUUCAGCAACGGAUCUCUUGGCUCUCGCAUCGAUGAAGAACGCAGCGAAAUGCGAUAAGUAAUGUGAAUUGCAGAAUUCAGUGAAUCAUCGAAUCUUUGAACGCACCUUGCGCUCCUUGGUAUUCCGAGGAGCAUGCCUGUUUGAGUGUCAUUAAUAUAUAUAUCAACCUUCUCUUGUUGAAUGGUUUGGAUGUGGGGGUUUGCUGGCCUCUUAAAAGGAUUCAGCUCUCCUGAAAUGCAUUAGCAGAACAAAACCUGUUCAUUGGUGUGAUAACUAUCUACGCUAUUGAAUGUGAGGUGGCAGUUCAGCUUUCUAACAGUCCCUUGGGACAACUCAUCAUUAAUGUGACCUCAAAUCAGGUAGGACUACCCGCUGAACUUAAGCAUAUCAA